AUGUUAAAACCCCAAAUCGAUGAAUUUAUAUUAUGUUGUUGGUCAUACCAUGUAAAAUCUAAGGAUGUUCCUGAUACAGUCAAGAAAGCGUUCAUACGCUAUAUUUCUUUAGAUUAUUGUGGAGACCGUAAUUGUGAGAAAAACCAAGGGGCUUGUCGAUCCACGAUGAUUCUUCAAGCUGAGAGAAGAGAGAUCGAUUACUUUUGGUUUCACGAACAAAUUGAUUAG